AUAAAUAACUAUCUAUGUGCGUACUUGUCCACCACUAACAUGUUAAAGGACACUUCUUUCUCAGCCACAUAAAUCAAUAUCUAUUCAUGUGUCCAUUUAUCCACCACAAACACAUUUAAAAGACAAUUCUAGAAAUAAUGUUUCUAGAAUUAACAUUUCAUAAAGUGACUCAAAUAAAUAAGUAAGAGGCUUUUCAUUGUCCUUCCAGAUAUCUCUUCUAUCAAUCAUCAAAUCAUCGGAAUCAAAUUGGAGUUCAAUCUCAAGGAUACCAUCAUAAGUGCAACUACUUUGCUAAUGGGUAUGUGAAUGUUUAUCUAGGUGUUUGAUCGUGAAUGUCAAGACACAGAUCGCAGAAACAAAAAUGCAUCUCCUAUUGUAGAAUUUAUAAAGGGAAAAGUCAUCAUUUCCACCUCAAACUAUACCUGAAAAGUCUAAGUCACACCUAAACUAUCAUAGUGUCCAAUUACACACCUAAACUAUAAAAAAGUGAAACUAUUACCUUCUUAGAAGGUGAAAUGGCAGAGAAGGUGUAUUCACCUUCCUAAGCUGUGUGAGAGGAAGGAAAAAAUCUUAAAAUGGCAGCUUCCAUACAUGUGUCACUAUUUCAUUUGUUAUUAUAUCAUUAAGUACUCCUAAUAUUCUUCUUAAUAUAUACAAUUAGAUUAAUUAUUUUUCAAUUGAAAAAAUAUUAAUAAAAUUAAUUUUUUUUAUUUUUUCAAUUGAAAAAAUAUUAAUAAAAUUAAAUUUUAUUUAUUUAUUUUAAUAUGUGGGUCCCGCCUUCUUCAAUUUCUUCUUCACCAAAAUCAUCAUUAAAACACCACCAUUCACACCAUCAUCAUCAAACUCAUAUCUUCACCACAAUAAUUUUAAGAAUCCACCAUAAAUUUUAUUAUUAAAAUCACAAUAUAACCGCUAGUAUCAUAAAAAUCACAAAUCACCACCAUAAAAUUUACAUUUUGGGCAUGCUUACUGAUUGUGACGGUGAAAUAUGAACCAAUAAAAUUACGUACAUUUUGGGACCUUUUAGUUGGUGCCUUCUAACUAAUCUGCUUUACCUCUUUUAUCUUUUUCUCAUAAUUAGACACUUUAUUAAAACUCUUCCUUCCAGAAGUCAUGCAUACAAACAAAUCGUGAAGAUUUGUGUUCAAACCUUUAAUAAAUAAGUGUACCCUCUUCUUCUCAGUGCCCAGAAUUUGGGUAGCAUAGACAGAUAGGGAAUUAAACUGACUCAUAGAAUCCAAUUGACACCCUCCCAUACUUAUGAUCCAGAAACUCAUCUUUCUGUGGUUACGAAGAGUUUGAGGCACAUACUUCUCUAAAUAGAGGGCAUGAAACUGAACCUAUUUACUUCAUUGUGUGAUGGUGGUUAUAGCGAUGGUGAUGGUGUUGGACGACGAUGGUGACAACUGGGGAAGAAAUUAGGAAAUGGAGAAAACUGAGAGAAAAGUGAGUAAAUGAAGUCAUUCAAAGAAAUAAUGGUGAUUUUUAUUAUGAUAUUGUGAUUUCAAUGAAAAUUUUAGUAAUGGACGUUGAAUUUUAUAGUGGUUGUUUGUGAUACUAAUGGUUGUAUUGUGAUUCCGAUAAUAAAAUUUAUGGUGGAUUCUUAAAA